GGCGGACGGUUUAGUAACACGUGAGUAACAUGCUUUAAAGUGGGGGAUAGCCUUUCGAAAGGAAGAUUAAUACCGCAUGUGGCCUUCGGGUCAAAGAUGCCUUCGGGUGUCGCUUUGAGAUUGGCUCGCGGCCUAUCAGCUAGUUGGUGAGGUAACGGCUCACCAAGGCAACGACGGGUAGCUGGUUUGAGAGGACGAUCAGCAACACUGGAACUGAGACACGGUCCAGACACCUACGGGUGGCAGCAGUCGAGAAUCAUUCACAAUGGGGGAAACCCUGAUGGUGCAACGCCGCGUGGAGGAUGAAGGCCCUAGGGUCGUAAACUCCUGUCAUAAUAGAGUAAGGCAUAUUAGAUUAAGAGUUAAAUAUGUUUGAUAGUAUAUUAAGAGGAAGGGACGGCUAACUUCGUGCCAGCAGCCGCGGUAAUACGAAGGUCCCGAGCGUUAUUCGGAAUCACUGGGCGUAAAGAGUACGUAGGCGGUUUGGUAAGUCAGGUGUGAAAUCCCGGAGCUCAACUCCGGAACUGCAUCCGAUACUGCUAGACUUGAGUAAUGGAGAGGCAGGUGGAAUUCUCGGUGUAGCAGUGAAAUGCGUGGAUAUCGAGAGGAAGACCAAUGGCGAAGGCAGCCUGCUGGACAUUUACUGACGCUGAGGUACGAAGGCCAGGGUAGCGAAAGGGAUUAGAUACCCCUGUAGUCCUGGCAGUAAACGGUGCGCGCUUGGUGUAGGAGGACUCGACCCCUUCUGUGCCGGAGCUAAC
rnacentral:rRNA from 1 species